GGAGGGUUACUAUGAGUACAAGGCCAGCCAGGGCUAUAGAGCUUCUUAUGUUGCUUUGAUGUCUUGUGUGUGUGUGUGUGUGUGUGUGUGUGUGCGUGUGCGUGUGCGCGCGCGCGCGCGCUCUUGAUUGUUUGGAAAAGGAACUCAGUUGUGCAGCACAUGUGGACAGAAGUGAGCUCUGGUGUUUCCACUGAAGAUCCUCUGCUUGCUGUUGGUGUGCACAGUUGUGAGGAAUUCAGCUUGAAUGGUUCACUUCAUCGGUUUCUUUACCUCACAUCUUCUUUUAUGUCCUUAAGUCACACAAACCAGAUCAACACAACUGGUUCUUGCUGCUGUUUUCAAACACAGCACCCUUGUUUGGGGCAGGAGAGAAAGGACACACACUCCAGUGAAUAAAGAAAUAUCAAUGAAAAAAGCUUUUUCAGGUGCACUCUGUCCAUGUGAUCCUCAACAAAUGUGUGUUCCAUCUGCCAUUCAGUGUGACCUUAGGCACUCAGGUGGAGCUGUGGUCCACGGAAGAGUUGUCUAAGGCUCCAGAUUGGUCAGAACUACCUGAUGUAUCCCUAUAUACUAAUGCCAUAUACUGUCUCUUGUGAUUGUGUGCCUAGCUUCAUGAUGAUGGUGAACUGUCUGGACAACUUGUAGUGUGUCAUAACAUGAACUCUGACUCCUGUAGGAUCCCAAAUCAAACUGGGGAAUGUAUUCUCUAGGAGACAAAGGGCCUCUCUGCACCUCUGUUAUCUGCCCUUAGAGAAGGUUGGGACCUGGUGUAGGUGAGGCGUGCUGGGCUCUGGAGUUUUCCGAUUCCAUGAACUAGUAACUGGAUUUCGACCUGAAGCAUUGCCCUGGUUCCUAUCCUCAGACCAAACUAAGACAGUUGUAAAGCUACCCGAGAUCAAAUGCUGCAAAAUAUCCUGUCUGUACCCUGCUCAUCUAGAGAGGAUGUGGGGUCAUCCCACUUGCCUGCUCUCAUUCUCUGGGUGGCAUCAAGGAUGGCUGCCGGCAUCUGCAGGUGGAGCCACUUGGCAAGCCUUUACGAUGUUGCCAUUGGCAGCUGCUCUGUGUUCAUGUAUUGGCAGAAUCUUUAUAUUUACUUCUCAAAGCCCAAAUUUUCCAUCGAUGUGUGUGAAAUUGGCCCACUACUGUAAAACUAUCCUCAAAGAAGUCAAAAUCAGUAAAUAUGGCAUUUGAAAAAUUGUAUGAGCCACUACCCAAUCACCAUAUUUGAGAUGUGGAGGAAGAUAGUGUAAUCGCAGGAAAAAAAACAUG
rnacentral:lncRNA from 1 species